GAACGCUGGCGGCGUGCCUAAUACAUGCAAGUCGAACGAACUCUGGUAUUGAUUGGUGCUUGCAUCAUGAUUUACAUUUGAGUGAGUGGCGAACUGGUGAGUAACACGUGGGAAACCUGCCCAGAAGCGGGGGAUAACACCUGGAAACAGAUGCUAAUACCGCAUAACAACUUGGACCGCAUGGUCCGAGUUUGAAAGAUGGCUUCGGCUAUCACUUUUGGAUGGUCCCGCGGCGUAUUAGCUAGAUGGUGGGGUAACGGCUCACCAUGGCAAUGAUACGUAGCCGACCUGAGAGGGUAAUCGGCCACAUUGGGACUGAGACACGGCCCAAACUCCUACGGGAGGCAGCAGUAGGGAAUCUUCCACAAUGGACGAAAGUCUGAUGGAGCAACGCCGCGUGAGUGAAGAAGGGUUUCGGCUCGUAAAACUCUGUUGUUAAAGAAGAACAUAUCUGAGAGUAACUGUUCAGGUAUUGACGGUAUUUAACCAGAAAGCCACGGCUAACUACGUGCCAGCAGCCGCGGUAAUACGUAGGUGGCAAGCGUUGUCCGGAUUUAUUGGGCGUAAAGCGAGCGCAGGCGGUUUUUUAAGUCUGAUGUGAAAGCCUUCGGCUCAACCGAAGAAGUGCAUCGGAAACUGGGAAACUUGAGUGCAGAAGAGGACAGUGGAACUCCAUGUGUAGCGGUGAAAUGCGUAGAUAUAUGGAAGAACACCAGUGGCGAAGGCGGCUGUCUGGUCUGUAACUGACGCUGAGGCUCGAAAGUAUGGGUAGCAAAACAGGAUUAGAUACCCUGGUAGUCCAUACCGUAAACGAUGAAUGCUAAGUGUUGGAGGGUUUCCGCCCUUCAGUGCUGCAGCUAACGCAUUAAGCAUUCCGCCUGGGGAGUACGGCCGCAAGGCUGAAACUCAAAGGAAUUGACGGGGGCCCGCACAAGCGGUGGAGCAUGUGGUUUAAUUCGAAGCUACGCGAAGAACCUUACCAGGUCUUGACAUACUAUGCAAAUCUAAGAGAUUAGACGUUCCCUUCGGGGACAUGGAUACAGGUGGUGCAUGGUUGUCGUCAGCUCGUGUCGUGAGAUGUUGGGUUAAGUCCCGCAACGAGCGCAACCCUUAUUAUCAGUUGCCAGCAUUAAGUUGGGCACUCUGGUGAGACUGCCGGCGACAAACCGGAGGAAGGUGGGGAUGACGUCAAAUCAUCAUGCCCCUUAUGACCUGGGCUACACACGUGCUACAAUGGAUGGUACAACGAGUUGCGAACUCGCGAGAGUAAGCUAAUCUCUUAAAGCCAUUCUCAGUUCGGAUUGUAGGCUGCAACUCGCCUACAUGAAGUCGGAAUCGCUAGUAAUCGCGGAUCAGCAUGCCGCGGUGAAUACGUUCCCGGGCCUUGUACACACCGCCCGUCACACCAUGAGAGUUUGUAACACCCAAAGUCGGUGGGGUAACCUUUUAGGAACCAGCCGCCUAAGGUGGGACAGAUGAUUAGGGU
rnacentral:rRNA from 1 species